ACAGGUUAGUCGGUAGAGCAUGAGACUCUUAAUCUCAGGGUUGUGGGUUUGAGCCCCAUGUUGGGCU